CUUUGCUAUUGCUAUUCAUGAGUUGCAGUAAGUGUUGGAAUAUGGGAAAUGCAACAAGCUACUAAGGCACUAAGCUAGAUUUUUUUUUUUUUUUUUAAAAAGCCCCUGAAAUAUUUACCAGUAGAGUUACAGACUUUUGGUAUCAUACAGUCUAAAGUUUUUCUUAGGAAAUUUGGGGAGUCUAAAUUAAAGGGAAAGACCAUUACAUACAUGAUUUAGGUAGCUAGAGGCAUUGAAGAUGAAUAAUUGACACUGAAAAAAUGGGAGCAAUGUUUCGACUGAUGCUUGAUAAAGUUCCAAGCAAUUGAUAAGGCCAUAUGCUGAGUUUGUGGUUAAUAUUCCUGUGAGGUGGUCAGUUCACAGCCAAGUGAGUAUUAUGCGGCAUGAGUGAGCACCAUCUUGGUUCUUUAUUUCAUCAAAUCCUGAGACCAUGGACCAGAUGUUGUGGGGUGAAUUUUGUGCUCUAUGUAGUUGGAUUGCUCUCUGAUGCAUUUAUAAUUGCUUCAACUGCAACCGAGGAAGAGAUGCUUAACUGGUAUAUACUUGAGCGCAGCGUCUUUUUCUUUUUUUGGGUGCACUGCUUCAUUGUCCCUUUCAACUUGAAUCUGGUGUGUGAGUUUGCUGAUGUAGAACUAUUGGUCUCUUAUCAUCAAGAGCUGGCAUCAAGCAUCUGUUAGGAAGGUGCUAGAAAUUGAAGCUAGUGCAGCUCAUGAGGCUGCUCUUCCACCAUUGUCACCCCCCAGCAUGGACAAUGACGACUUCAUCAGAGAAUGAUGGAGUGUCUGGUGUGAAUGCUUCUCUCUCUUCUCCUACUUUGGAUGGUUUGCUUUGAAGGGAUGGAAUCAAUAAACAAAAGAAAGAGCAGGCAGGCAGUUUUCUUGUUGUGGUGCAUAGUCAGGGAGACUUCUGCUCUGCAACUUGAUGUUGAAGCAAGAAAUCUUGUAUUUUAAUUCUUAUCUGUAGAUACCACAGUAUUGACAUUUGGGGUUGUCAUAUUUCUUAGUUCAUUAUACGGAAAUGAAACAGAAAAUCUGUCAUAUUGGUGUAUUUCAGAUCUUUUGGACUAGUUACUAGAAAGUUUUCCCAGAAUUUGUUAUUCUUUA